ACGGUCCUAAGGUAGCGAAAUUCCUUGUCAGGUAAGUUCUGACCCGCACGAAAGGCGUAAUGAUUUGGGCACUGUCUCAACAGCCCGCCCGGCGAAAUUGUAGUACCGGUGAAGAUGCCGGUUACCCGCAACUAGACGGAAAGACCCCAUGGAGCUUUACUGCAGCUUAAUACUGAGAUUCGGUAAUUCAUGUACAGGAUAGGUGGGAGACUUGGAAACAGGGGCGUCAGCUUCUGCGGAGUCACCCUUGGGAUACCACCCUUGGAUUGCUGGGUUUCUAACCUGCGGCCAUGAAUCUGGUCGGGGGACACUGUUAGGCGGGCAGUUUGACUGGGGCGGUCGCCUCCUAAAAAGUAGCGGAGGCGCUCAAAGCUUGGCUCAGCAUGGAUGGAAAUCAUGCAAUGAGUGUAAACGUAUAAGCCAAGUUGACUGCGAGACCGACGGGUCGAGCAGGGACGAAAGUCGGAGUUAGUGAUCCGGUGGUAUGUGAGUGGAAAUGCCAUCGCUCAACGGAUAAAAGUUACCCUGGGGAUAACAGGCUGAUCUCCCCCAAGAGUCCACAUCGACGGGGAGGUUUGGCACCUCGAUGUCGGCUCAUCGCAUCCUGGGGCUGAAGUAGGUCCCAAGGGUUGGGCUGUUCGCCCAUUAAAGCGGUACGCGAGCUGGGUUCAGAACGUCGUGAGACAGUUCGGUCCCUAUCUGUCGUGGGCGCAGGAUAUUUGAGAGGCGCUGUCCCUAGUACGAGAGGACCGGGAUGGACGAACCUCUGGUGCACCAGUUGUCACGCCAGUGGCACAGCUGGGCAGCUAUGUUCGGAUCGGAUAAACGCUGAAAGCAUCUAAGCGUGAAGCCGGCCUUAAGAUAAGAUAUCCCACUGAGUCAAUCAGGUAAGACCCCUUGAAGACUACAAGGUUGAUAGGCACAGAGUGUAAGCGGAGUGAUCCGUUCAGCUAGUGUGUACUAAUAGGUCGAGGGCUUGACCC
rnacentral:rRNA from 1 species